UCGCAGCCUCCUCACUAUGAAUGGAGGAGCAGCAGAGGAGAGCCCGCCCGGUGCAGGAGUGAAGAAAGUUCAGAGAGGGGCAGAGGAGGAGCGCACAUGGCUCCCAGUGCGUCGGGAUGGCUUUUAUUACGCACGGCGGCGACACGUUUGAAAGUGAAAGAGAGAGCGAGGGAGAGAGAGAUAGAGAGAGAGCUGUCAGGUGAACAAUCCGUGCACAUGCGCGUCUCAGCCAACUUUACUGAGUUUUGAAAAAAGAAAAGUGAAAGACAGGACGUGUUGAGCGCCAGUGACGAUGAGGGGUUUUCAGAGGAGACCUUCUGAUGAAGAGGAGGAUGAGGACUGACAAACAGACUGGUCUGACGAGCAGGUUUCCAACACGUCGAGGGGAAAACCACCGAGAACAUCUGAUGACGUGCUGCUGGGGCGGUUUGGAGGAAAUGACAUCAUGAGAUGGGUUGGCUGGUGGACGCAGACCACAGCCGGCGGCAGAGGAGCUGCUGGGGUUGUGAGGCGAGGUUUGCAGCUGCUGGCCAAAAAAAACACACACUAAUGUGCUGUGGAUUUUGUGAAGAAUAUGUUGAAAUGUUGAAGGGAAGAACCCAUUCAUGAGGUCUGAGGGGGCCGUGAGGAGGGAUUGUGUUGUUGCUCUGCACCAGGCGACAAUUAAACACCUGCAGGAUUUUCGGAGUGCUCCACGCCCAGUGAGGUACAUCCUGAAUGCUGGUGACCACAGGAAGUAACACACAAGUCAAAGAUAAUGUAGAGUCUGAAGCCGAGUGGGAUUAACAUUAUUUAUUUAUCAUAAAACCAGUUGCUGUGAGGCUUUAUCUUCAAAUGUUGAAUCAUUAAGAGACUUAGAGUGAAAGAGGAACCAAGGGUAAUGGAUUUUACAUGUAAAUUAAGUGUAAUAUGUUUGUUUUUUUAUGUAUACGUAGUGAAUUAAAUAUUUUUUUAUUGUCAUGUAACUCGUGUUCCUGGACACUUUAUAAAUAAAUCAGGCUUGAAGCUGAUUUUUUGCUAAAAAAAUAUACAAGGUGUUUGGAAUUAGAACAGUUUGUUAAACAAAGAAUUUAAUCAGAAGAACAAACAUUAAACCAACAGACACUGAAGUGUGAGUCGCUCAUCACAGGGAAGCAAGCGGAUCUGGAAAGUUCUGAUUGUAAAACACUGUGUUCAUGCUGAUGAUCCAUUGUUCUGUCAAGUUGAUAACAGUCGCACAAUUUGUGCAGAUUUUUUUCCCCAAACAAUGGAAAAGACAGAUUUAUUCACACGUCCAUUAAACAUGUGUGUGUGUGUGUGUGUGUGUGUGUGUGUGUGUGUGUGUGUGUGUGUGUGUGUGUGUGUGUGUGUGUGUGUGUGUGUAGUAGCUAAUGCAUCUUCCCUUUAUUUUAAUAAUGCAUUUAAUAAAUUAACUAACAAUUCAGUAUAUUCAGUGCAUAGAAACCAGGUCAUUGUGUACAGUCGGUGCAUCAAUGUAAUUUAAGGAUGUGAUUCAUGUUAUUUACAUUUUCUCAGUUAAUCAACUAUUAAAGGGCAAAAUGUUAAGUUUCACAAACUCCAAGUUAACGUCUUUAGAUUCUUGGUUUUGUCCAACACUUAAAUCUCAAAACUACUUUUACAGCCAGACUUAUAUUGACUUUUGCCGGCCGAUGCCAAUAAUGAUUUUAGAGAGUUUAAAAUGUCCAGUACCGAUUUUAGGGCUAAUAUGUAUACAUAUAAAACAUUAAAUGUUGAAUUUAAAUUUACAGAUUAAUCAUAAACUUAUUUAUAAAUCAAAAACCACAAAUAGAACCAAAUAUAUAGAACUUGAAAAUAGAAAUUAAAUAUUUUACAAAUUUUACUCAAUGCUUAUUCUGUAAAAUAAACUUUUUCAUACCUGUGCAUACCGUUAUUUUUUUAUACAUAUAUAUACAGUAUAUAAAUAUAUAUUAUAUUUUCUGUCUCAAGUGGAUUAAGUGUGUGGGACUGAUUGAAAGAAGAAAACAGAAAAACAUUAAACUUUAAUCAUCUCCAUUAAGCUUGUUCUCAAAUAUUAAAGUUGAUUUUCACAAUAGGAUCCCUCAGACAGAAAGGCUCAUACAAUACUAUUAAAGAGUACAAAAUAGAAAUAACUUCAUUGAUUAUAUUUGAACAGCUUCAUAGCUUCAUAGUUUCAUAACCUGUGUUUUUUCCUGCUGGGGAACGCUCAGGGUUUGAAUCACUCACAGGUCUGUUUACAGGUUUCAUAACCCUCAGGCUGUUGUCACACAGUCAAACAAUAUUGUCUCAUUUCAAAAUGUGGUCACCAGUGUAAACAGGCUUCAUUCCUGAACAACUUACUUUUCCCGAACACAUUUUCCCCUCGAGAGAUUUUCCUGUUAGUCCCCAGAUGAACUGAGUUAUGUUCAUUCACAAAAAAAGACACAAACAAAUGUUUUAACUCUGAGGGAAACUAAAAUAAAUUAAACUGUAUACUGCUUUUAACCGAGAGAAAGAACUGACCUGUGAUGACACAUGUUAGGAUGAGCUGAUCCGUCUGAGACACACAUACACACACACACACACACACACACACACACGUACACACACUAUUCUCUGACUUAAUCUGCAUUAAUGUGAACGUGGCCUGAGACUGACUGUAAAUAAAGAUGGACGACAUGGCGUCUCCCCUGAAGUGAAGCCAAAGUGUCUUGAUCCCUGCUGGCUGGCUGCUGAAUAGGUCAUGAGUCUCACCUCCUCCAUGUUAGCAGAUGGGACACGGUCAAACGUUAAGUACAUUUUUCUCAAAGAUUGUUUCUCAUCACAUUUUAAUUUGUUAUUUGACGCUAUAAACGAGGGUGAAACAUCUUGAUUGACAGCUGAGACUGACUCCUAAUUGGUCGGGCAUGUGUAUCGGCUGGAUCUUGCUACUUCAGCGUCAUUCCCUCGAUCGCUGCUACACAGACUCAUUUCUGGAUAGUGGGAGGAGCUGGAGACGUGUCGGCCAUCUUUAUUUACAGUCUUUGUGAGAGACAUGUAACUUAGGGGAACUGAUAAUUACUGUGCAGGUGUUCAAGCGCCCCCUGUAGGAAAGAAUAAGUUUGCACAAAACCCCAAGAAUUAUUUAGUUUGAGACCUUUUAUUUAAAAACUUUUGCGUGUUUCUCCUUAAAUCCAUUUUUAUGAUCAUAGCAACUUGUCAAAAGCCUGAAGGAAGCGCGUGUGUGUGUGUUUGUGUGUGUGUGUGUGUGUCUGUGCUUGAAAGAGAGCGUGUGAAAUAGGAAGAUGGGGGCAAAACCUUGAACAGGAAAGAGUGUGUGUGAGAGAGGACAGAGGGAAAGAGAUAUUUAAAACUUCUACAUUUUAAAUUCUGGGUUUGUUUAGUAAAGUUUAGCAGAAGUGAAUCCUGCCUGUGAGAAAUUACACUCCACCAAUAAAACGUCACACACUGA